GGUUUGUGUGUCAUUUAAAAAAAAGAAAUAGAAGAAAAAACUGAAAGAAUGAAGGACUAGUUUCAUUGUAGCAAUUGUUACACUGAGAAGAAAAAACUGAAAGAAUGAAGGACUUCAUUACUUGUGAUUGGAAAGAUAUUGAAUGGGGCAAGUAGAGAGAAGUACAUUUUGUAAUGUACCCAUCAAAGGUGUCAUAUUUUUAUAUUACGUGUCAAUAUUAUGUUUUGAUAUGUCUAAAUAUACAUGUAUGCAUUUAAUAAAGUAAGUGUACAGUAGCAUGCAUGCUCACGUGAAAUAUGUUUACUAUAGAAGAGCUGUAAAUAAUGACUACAACUUGAGCCUCUACAACUAUGCUAAGUUCUUGUCAAUCUCCAACAGACAAUGACAGCAACUCUAUAGCCACAAAAACAAAAACAAUCCCCCUUUUUUGGAGCUUAAAGACAAAGGCCUUAUUGUGGUAAAGGAACAUGAGUUACAGGGAGCCUUUGAAGUAAACAAAAGAUUAAUAGACAGGAAGAGCAAAUGCUAAAUGAACAAAGAUGAGUAUGUGACUCAGAGGUUCUUGUCAACAUGGCUGUAUUAGAAAGUAAAAAAGUAUGUGACUGAAAGAACUUUAUCUUGAUAAUGACAAUGUAAAUUUGUUACUUUGAUAUUAAUUCAGCAUGCAAGUAGUGUGGGUACAAGCAAGUGGACAUGCGCAAUUGCGUGCCUGAUGAAUUUGAUUUGUUAUUUCACGAGUUAUAGCUUAUCAGUACUGUUGCAUGGAAGCAAAGUGGGGGCAAAACAUAUCUUCAGGAGUAACCAGUUGGAAUAUUUAUUUAUAAAAUAGAAAUGAAGAGGGUAAGGAGAGAAUACAGGAAGCAGCUUACCUACUAAUGUAUUACAUUCAAUAAUUAUAGGCCAUUCAUGAGCUAUAAUCAGAAAGACUCCUAAUAUUAGUUCUUCAUCUGAGCAAGUUUAAAACAAAAAGUCAAGCAAAAAUGGCAAGUUUCUUUGACAAAGGCAAUGCUUUAUUCUUUUACGAAGCAAUACAAAGAACAACUAGGCAUUAAAUGCUCAUCCUCUCAACCAGUCACAAUGAGAACAUGGCUGCUCUUUAUACAGGAGGCAGCUUGCCGCUUGCAACCAAGUAAUGUAUGGCCAAAAUAAAACUGCUUGCAAAGCAACAAGUUGCCUAUUGUACAAAGGCCUUUAGACAAUAAAGAAGAAGCUGCUAGGCAGAGCAAUUUUUCCAACUACAAACUACCAAGCCAGUGGAUGUAUAGUCGUUGUUGCCAACUCUAGAAAAAAGUAAACAACCAGUAAAAAAACUACAAACAUGAAAAAUGUUUUUGGAAGAAGUACUUGAGAAAAUGAAUAAA